GCCGCGUGCAGGAUGACGGUCCUAUGGAUUGUAAACUGCUUUUAUACGGGAAGAAAACGAGUUACGUGUAACUAACUGACGGUACCGUAAGAAUAAGGAUCGGCUAACUCCGUGCCAGCAGCCGCGGUAAUACGGAGGAUCCAAGCGUUAUCCGGAAUCAUUGGGUUUAAAGGGUCCGUAGGCGGUCUUAUAAGUCAGUGGUGAAAGUUUUUAGCUUAACUAAAAAAUUGCCAUUGAUACUGUUAGACUUGAAUUACUUGGAAGUAACUAGAAUAUGUAGUGUAGCGGUGAAAUGCUUAGAUAUUACAUGGAAUACCAAUUGCGAAGGCAGGUUACUAUGAGUUAAUUGACGCUGAUGGACGAAAGCGUGGGUAGCGAACAGGAUUAGAUACCCUGGUAGUCCACGCCGUAAACGAUGGAUACUAGUUGUUUGGCCGUAAGGUUGAGUGACUAAGCGAAAGUGAUAAGUAUCCCACCUGGGGAGUACGAACGCAAGUUUGAAACUC
rnacentral:rRNA from 1 species